rnacentral:rRNA from 1 species
GAUGAACGCUGGCGGCGUGCCUAAUACAUGCAAGUCGAGCGAACAGACGAGGAGCUUGCUCCUCUGACGUUAGCGGCGGACGGGUGAGUAACACGUGGAUAACCUACCUAUAAGACUGGGAUAACUUCGGGAAACCGGAGCUAAUACCGGAUAAUAUAUUGAACCGCAUGGUUCAAUAGUGAAAGACGGUUUUGCUGUCACUUAUAGAUGGAUCCGCGCCGCAUUAGCUAGUUGGUAAGGUAACGGCUUACCAAGGCAACGAUGCGUAGCCGACCUGAGAGGGUGAUCGGCCACACUGGAACUGAGACACGGUCCAGACUCCUACGGGAGGCAGCAGGAGGGAAUCUUCCGCAAUGGGCGAAAGCCUGACGGAGCAACGCCGCGUGAGUGAUGAAGGGCUUCGGAUCGUAAAACUCUGUUAUUAGGGAAGAACAAAUGUGUAAGUAACGAUGCACGUCUUGACGGUACCUAAUAGAAAGCCACGGCUAACUACGUG